rnacentral:lncRNA from 1 species
GGGCACCUGUUCUGUCACCGACCAGUGCCCUCAUUCUGGGGAGGCCCCGCAAAUAGGGAGGGAGAGACUGAUAGCACCUCAGUUGCCAACCCUGAUGUCCAGAAGCUGCUCGAGACAGAAAUCACAGAAAGAAUACAAACGAAGGUCUGGGGAAAAGAAGAACAAGGUGAUCCAGGCACUCCUCAGAUGCUCGAAGCACACAGUAUCAUGUCUGGGCUGAAUUUCUGCUGGGGCCUACCCCUCCUGUCCUUGGAGCCUGCAGAUCUGAAAGCAUGCCUGGGAAGCUGGACAUGCCUGUUACCAUGAUGUCCCCUUCUCCCCAGACCAGAGAAGAUCAAUGACAGGAGACAGUCCCCAACCUACCUCCAGGGACCACAACUGUCUGAAUACAAGGGAAUGGAUCAAAACAGGCAUGGCAACUGGACCUUGCCAUCCAGGCAGCUGCAGUCCCCAGCCAAACCCUGCCAGCCUGGGCUGAGGGUGGCAGCUGUCUCAGCCAAUCCAUCACCUGCCAUGCUGUCUUCAGAUAUGUGUCUCCUGGGAUGAGUAGACUGUGCCUGACACACCUUUCUUCAUAGGAACGCUUAUCUCCCCAAAUGGGGAAGUGGAGGAACAGAAAACCUGUUUUUUCUCCUUAUCCCACCCUCUGUGCUAAUGGUGUCUUCCUACCCCAAUUUUCCCCAAAUACAAUUUUUUUCUCCUUAGAGUUCAUAGGUUCUGUCUGUGCCCUGCUAGUGGUAAAAACGGGGUGAGGCUCCACCCUUCCUAAGUGUCAGCUUUGGCUUCCAGAAGGGGCAGGGCCAUGGGGGGAGGCUGACUGCAGCAUGGCUCACCUUCCCUCAUCCCGACUCCCUCAUUGCACCUGAAGUCCCCGUAAGCUGUCCUUACAAAAACAAAUGGAAGCUUUAGGAUAUUUCCAGAUGAGCAAAACCUCUAAGACCGCAGCCCAGGAUGGGCCCCGCCUGUCCUCUCCUGCGUUCUCUGGCCCUUGAACUUGUGGGACUGUAUGCAGGGGGUUUGCAGAGGCUCCAGGAAGUGCAGAGAUAGGUUCACAGGUCACAGAGUGGGGAGGGGAGUGUGGGGCGGAUCUGGCCCUGAGUCCAGAGUGGGAAGAAUCUUGCCCCGCACCCCAAGCUCUUGUUGGGAAUAGAUGACCCUGCCCCAGGAGCAUCUUCUCUCCCUGCUGAAGCUGACCUGGAGAUGGGCCUGUGCAUCCCUUUCAGCCAAGCAUCACCCUCCC